UGUCUAAUGCUACUCCAGAG
rnacentral:snRNA from 1 species